UGAGGAAUAUUGGUCAAUGGGCGCAAGCCUGAACCAGCCAUCCCGCGUGAAGGAUGAAGGUCCUAUGGAUUGUAAACUUCUUUUAUACACCAAGAAAAAUCCCGACGAGUCGGGACCCGACGGUAGUGUAUGAAUAAGCAUCGGCUAACUCCGUGCCAGCAGCCGCGGUAAUACGGAGGAUGCAAGCGUUAUCCGGAUUCAUUGGGUUUAAAGGGUGCGUAGGCGGCUUUUUAAGUCAGUGGUGAAAUCCUGCCGCUUAACGGUAGAAUUGCCAUUGAUACUGAGAAGCUUGAGUACAAUUGAGGUAAGCGGAAUGUGUAGUGUAGCGGUGAAAUGCUUAGAUAUUACACAGAACACCAAUUGCGAAGGCAGCUUACUAAACUGUUACUGACGCUGAUGC
rnacentral:rRNA from 1 species